rnacentral:tRNA from 1 species
GGCGGUGUGCCCGAGUGGCCAAUGGGAGCGGACUGUAAAUCCGUCGGCUUAGCCUACCCAGGUUCGAAUCCGGCGCCGCCA